GUGCCACAUGAAUUUGUCAUUUAGGAACACUGACUUUGGUUUUCUGUUUGAAAAUGUUUUUUUCAAGCUAGGCUUAGUCAUGGUUGACAAACCACUUUUUACAUUGGUUUGUCAACCAUUGGUCUCAGCCAUUGGUCCAGCUAGGCAGGGUAGUAAUACUGUGCUGUCUACGGGACAGCCCCUCGGAAACACAGACACACUCACUAUCAACACUCUACCACACACGCAACAGACAGACGAUUAAACUUGGAAUUAGCCUAAAUCUCUCGACCAAUGGCUGAGACUAAUGGUGUUACAUUAAAAUAGAUGACGAUCUCGGCCUCACCUGUCGUAAGUGAAUGAUGGUGAUGAAAUAAUCUGGACCCCGUUUACGAGACACUGUGGUAAACUUUACCACUCAGUACUCGUCACACAGCACCUGGAGUAACAUGGUCUAACUAAUAGAAGUAGAGAAACGACUGCAUGCUGUGUUAGCGGAAUCAGAAUUCUUUAGGUAACAUUGAUAAAUAAGAUGUUUUAUCAAUGUUCAUAAGUAUGCUUAUGUGGGAAAAGUUACUUGGGCCCCAGAGAGGGGAGAGGUCAGGCUUGUCUUCUUAUGGGAAUGUGUCUAACUAUUACUUGUCCCCUCAGGUUGCCUUUCUCUUGAUUUAGUAUAUGUCCUAGGAGGCUCACUGUCUCUGAGCUUGUCCAGGAGGGGUUGUAUUUUUGUUGGGAGUGUCUAGUAUUGAUAUAUGCCAUUGGAUGAGGUAAAGUUUUGGUUCUAAGUGGUACCAAGAAUGAGAAGAACUUAGUUUAGGAGACCAAACUGAAUAAUUUAUAGCCAAUGCUGUCUGGCUAUGUGUGUCUUUGCUAUAAAUGAUCUGUUGCCAUUAUGUAAGCACUCUCAGAAUUCAUUUAUGGACACAAUUGAUCUGAGUCACAGGGCUAUGGUGAAGCUCAUAUAAUUAAAGAUGGACUUUAUGAUAACUCUGACUUGUGUGUGGUUUGCUCUCUCAUGAUUUGGUAAUACAGGAAAUUUCCACGACAAUGCACAGCAGGAAAUGUGACACUUCUGACACAUUUUGCUAGAUACACCCAUACUCUGUGCAGCACCCAAACCAAGUGGCAAGAAUAUGCUUAUGAAGAUUCUUCCUAAAUUCAUGGGCAGCAUUCUGAGCAAUGUGAAACCAGAAGAACUAUGCACGUCUAUUGGUCGAACUUGAUGCUGUGAAUGGGGGUCACCAUGAAGAUGAUCCUAACAUUCUGCUCCCACACCAUCCUCCAGAAGUCAGCCAUGGUGCUGCGCAAAGGACCCUGGCUACAGAUUAAGUCUGGCUCUGUACAGCCCCCUGAAAAGCAGACCACUGACUUGAUGAAUGGAUAUAUGGACAGACAGAGUACUUACAGGGACAUAACUAGCGUUGAUAUAGCUUCACUCUACAGUGGUAAUCUGAAAUCACAGGGACUGUUAUUAAUCAACGUGAUCAGAAAGUGGGAAGCAUUACCGAACAUGGGAGAGAUGUGAAGGAUGUGUUCAUGUACUUAGAUACAGCAGGUUAUAUAAUCAUGGUAAUUACACUCCUAUUACUCAGGGGCAGCAUGUGGUGGUGCUAUGAUACUCUCAAGGCAGUAUGUAGGGGUAUCUGUUCUCUCUGUUAGCCUUCCAGGUCUCCAGCCCUGGUAGUGAGUUCUUUACCAUCAUCCAGCUCCUGAAGAAUAAACAGCUAAUGGGACACUAUGAAACAGCCACAGCAGACACUGCACAAAGACUCCAAAGCACAAUCAUCUACUGUAUGGUGUGGUCUCACAAGACUGAUGGCCUAGAUUAGUGAGUUUGGUUUACCUCAAACCGCCCUUGGCAGCGAGUGAUUGAAAGCACAGGUGGAAUUCCUGUAGUAUAUGUGCCCGUGAAAGCACCCUUAUUCGAUGUGGAAAUAUGGCAACAGUCUUCAGCCGAUUAAAACAUGUUUUGUUAAACAACUCUUUAAAUUGAGCUCCAAUUUUCCUCAAAGUGGUGUUUUUACAAGUGACUACACCCAUAAUGUUCUUAAUUCCAUCAUUCCAUGCUUCUGGGUUGGACUUGAGAAAACAAUAGGCUAAAACACUUCACUAACAGCACUCAGUUACUGUAUAUCAACUAAUGAAAGGUUACUUUUCUCUUCCAUAUUUUAGCAGAUGCUCUUAUCCAGAGCAAUUACGGUUAAGUGCCUUGCACAUCAACAUAUUUUUCACCUAGUUGGCCUCAGGGAUUCGAACCUUUCGGUUACUGGCCCAACGCUCUUAACCGCUCCGCUACCUGCCGCCCAUACCAUUUCACAAAGACUUAAGUUAUUAUAUCCACUCCUUCAGUGACUUUCAGGGUUCCUCACCUCAUGUUUGUUAGGGGUGCAGAGAUUAGGCAAAGCUUCCUUUGGUAACCAAGAACGGAAGUAUAGUGUAGAGGGAGCCAGGCUGGUGAGGUGGUGUUGGGUAGUUUUAAAAGAAAUGUGAUCAGAUGAUCACAAAGCCAAAUCCCCCACCCACCCCUGCUAGCUAAAGAGGAAUUUGGACACACAGUGGCUCUCACACACAAGGAUUCGAACACCAACCUGAGAACACUAUAAAAACCUGCAUCAACAGGUCAACAACAACUCAAAACACAGGUAAAGCACAGAGUGAGCAACCACAGCCUAGUGUUCCUUAUUAGUUAGUAUCACCUUUGUAAGUGCUCCUUUGAGUGAGAAAGAGUUUAGAGUGCAACGGGGGCUCUUCCCAUCGAUGUGUUAUGUCCUGUCAAGUUGUCAGUCUCCAAUUAUCCAAGCCACCACAUUUUAUUCUCUCUCAAUUCAAAGGGCUUUAUUGGCAUAGGAAACAUGUUUACAUUGCCAACGCAAGUGAAUAGAUAAUAAGCAAAAGUGAAAUAAACAAUCAAAAAUUAACUGUAAACAUUACACUCACAAAGGUUUCAGAGAAAUGGAGACAUUUCAAAUGUCAUUGUGGCUAUGUACAGUGUUAUAAUGAUAGUUAAAGUACAAAAGAGAAAAUAAUAAAACAUAAAGAUGGG
ensembl:lncRNA